GUCAUCCGAAGCAGCUACCUCUUCGUGGUGGAUGACAGGCAACGGUCAGAGAGACCGGCAGAAUGCUGUG
rnacentral:ribozyme from 1 species